rnacentral:rRNA from 1 species
GAUGAACGCUGGCGGCGUGCUUAACACAUGCCAGUCGAACGAUGAAGCCCAGCUUGCUGGGUGGAUUAGUGGCGAACGGGUGAGUAACACGUGAGUAACCUGCCCUUAACUCUGGGAUAAGCCUGGGAAACUGGGUCUAAUACCGGAUAGGAGCGCCGACCGCAUGGUGGGUGUUGGAAAGAUUUAUCGGUUUUGGAUGGACUCGCGGCCUAUCAGCUUGUUGGUGAGGUAAUGGCUCACCAAGGCGACGACGGGUAGCCGGCCUGAGAGGGUGACCGGCCACACUGGGACUGAGACACGGCCCAGACUCCUACGGGAGGCAGCAGUGGGGAAUAUUGCACAAUGGGCGCAAGCCUGAUGCAGCGACGCCGCGUGAGGGAUGACGGCCUUCGGGUUGUAAACCUCUUUCAGUAGGGAAGAAGCGAAAGUGACGGUACCUGCAGAAGAAGCACCGGCUAACUACGUG